rnacentral:rRNA from 1 species
AUUGAACGCUGGCGGCAGGCCUAACACAUGCAAGUCGAGCGAGUGGCGGACGGGUGAGUAAUGUCUGGGGACUGCCCGAUAGAGGGGGAUAACUACUGGAAACGGUGGCUAAUACCGCAUACCAUCGGAUAACCCAUAUGGGAUUAGCUAGUAGGUGGGGUAAAGGCUCACCUAGGCGACGAUCCCUAGCUGGUCUGAGAGGAUGGUCAGCCCAAAUGGGACGGGGACACGGCUCAGAAGACAAGGGAGGCAGCAGUGGGGAAUAUUGGACAAUGGGCGAAAAGCUGAUCCAGCCAUACCGCGUGUGUGAAGAAGGCCCUAGGGUUGUAAAGCACUUUUGUUAGGGAUAUGUUACCUAAAGAAUAAGCACCGGCUAACUCCGUGCCAGCAGCCGCGGUAAUAC